rnacentral:rRNA from 1 species
UGGGGAAUCUUGCACAAUGGGGGCAACCCUGAUGCAGCGACGCCGCGUGAGCGAUGAAGCCCUUCGGGGCGUAAGGCUCUUUCGACCGGAACGAUAAUGACGGUACCGGGAGAAGAAGCUGCGGCUAACUACGUGCCAGCAGCCGCGGUAAUACGUAGGCAGCAAGCGUUGUUCGGAGUUACUGGGCGUAAAGAGUGCGUAGGCGGUUUUCUAAGUUCGGUGUGAAAUCUCCCGGCUUAACUGGGAGGGUGCGCCGAAGACUGGGAAGCUGGAGUGUGGGAAAGGCAGGCGGAAUUCCUGGUGUAGCGGUGAAAUGCGUAGAUAUCAGGAGGAACACCGGCGGUGUAGACGGCUUGCUAGACCAUAACUGACGCUGAGGCACGAAAGCGUGGGUAGCAAACA